rnacentral:rRNA from 1 species
UUGUCCGGUGGCCGUACCACAUUUCCGUUCCCGGUACCGGUGUUAACGCUGAGUUGGCUGACGGGCUCACGGGGUCGUUACGAGCACAGAGUAGGACAUCAACGGCCUGAUCAACCAGGUAGCGCAAAUGUGGGGCUAAUACAUGGAGUUUCGAUAUCCGAUAACCAUUUGAUUAGUAUGAUUUUACAUGUUUCACUUUUAGUGAUAUGAGGAAUAUAAUAUUAAACAUCGCAAAUAGCGAGUGACUGGUUAACUUUCUCACCUAUCAGUUAUUGAUGGUACGGUAGUUGCUUACCAUGACUUUGACAGGUAACGGGGAAUUAGGGUUUGGUUCCGGAGAGGGAGUUUGAGAUUUGGCUACCACAUCUAAGGAAGGCAGCAGGCGCGUAAAUUGCUCAAUUUUGAAUUAAAGAGGUAGUAAACAAACAUAUUAGCAUACGAUUUUCAAAUCGAGUGACUGGCAUGACAGGAAUUUAGAUAUUUCUCUGGAGAAACAAUUAGAGGGCAAGUCUGGUGCCAGCAGCCGCGGUAAUUCCAGCUCUAAUAGCAUAUAUUAAAUUUGUUGCGGUUGAAACGCUCGUAGUUUUAUUUCCUUCUAAAAGAAACCUUUGGUUUGGAAACUUGAUGUUUGCACACGUUUUAGACGAUUGUGUAAAUUUGCCCCUUUGAAGCAAUGAUAACGGUCGACCUUUAUGUUUCAAAGCAUGGAACGGACGUGUACGUACAUGAUAUUUGUAUUCAUUGUUUUGCAUGUCAGUGAAAUAACAGUAAUGAAACAUUGGAAGUACUUAUAUUCAGCUGUCAGAGGUGAAAUUCUUGGACCAGCUGAGGAUAAUCAGAGGCUAAUGCAUUUACUGAAAGUUUAUUAGUUUAUCAAGAACGUAAGUUGAGGGUUCGAAGAUGAUUAGAUACCGUUGUAGUCUCAAUUGUGAAAUAUAUCUUUAGGAGCUAGGAAAUAAACUUUAAAUUGUAUUCUGUACCCUUCGAGAAAUCGUAGAAGAUUCUGGGGGGAGUAUUGUCGCAAGGUAGAAACUUAAAGGAAUUGACGGAAGAGCACCACCAGGAGUGGAGCUUGCGGUUUAAUUUGACUCAACACGGGAAAACUUACUGUGUCCGGACAUAAGAAUGAUUGACAGGUUAAGAGUUCUUUCUUGAUUUUAUGGGUGGUGGUGCAUGGCCGUUCUUAGUUGGUGGAGUGAUUUGUCAGGUUAAUUCCGUUAACGAACGAGACUUCAUCCUGCUUAUUGUGAUUUAUUCACUCAAAGUGGUUCUUUGCACGUUUAGUGCAAGGAAGCGUGAAGCAAUAACAGGUCUGUGAUGCCCUUAGAUGUCUCGGGCCACACGCGCGCUACAGUGAUCCAAUCCAUUGGACAACUGGCUUUGAAGUUAGUUCAACCUAUGAGAAUGGAGUUUGUAUGGGAUUGAUGUUUGUAAUUUUUCAUCUUGAACGAGGAAUUCCUAGUAAGCAUAAGUCAUUAACUUUUCUUGACUAUGUCCCUGCCCUUUGUACACACCGCCCGUCGCUGCAAUUGAUUGAACGCUACGGUGAACAUUAUAUCUUUUUGGGUUUCUACUUAGCAAGGUUUAAUGUGAAACGAUAUCGNUUAGAAGAGGVGAAGGGACCAGUVCAACUUC